CAACGAAGAUGAAACGACAAGAUGUCUGUUCACGAGCAUACUCUCUCCCUCAACCCUCAACCCCCAACUCUCUCCUCUAACAACUCUGGAAAAUUACUAAAUCGGUAUAUCCAAAUUGCAUCAACCAAUUUCAUAUAUCAAUUAUGAGAUUUCAAAUCUCAAAUUAAAAUCAAUCAAACGACGCUUCUUCUCUUUCGUAGUCAUGUGUCAUUUAUCCUUGCUCACAAAAUUACAGUUUCUUUCUCAUUUUCCUUCUCCAAAAAAGUCAGUUUCUAAUUUUUUUUGUUUUUCCUUUCCUACUCCAUUCGCCAAUUCAAUCCAUAUUUAUUUCUCUACCUCCGUCUUCCUCCAGUUCUGAUUUUUCGAGAUUAAAUUGCAAAGCAGGCGAGACUAAUUAACAGUAAUUUUGCAAAGCAUAUGAAUUCCAAAUUUAUGAACAGGUGUUUGUACGACUUCGUUUUAACGAAUUGAUGGUGGACGGUCCAGAUGGAAAUCUCAGUAUAAGGUAAUUAGUGAGUCUGUCAUAGAUAAAAACUUGAAAUCAUGGCGGCCGAAGCUUCGAAGUCGACUUCAUCCGCCAUCUUACAUCGGCAGUGUUAUUAGUUUGACAUCUAAGAGUGAGAUCAGAUAUGAAGGCAUUCUCUUCAGCAUCAACACUUAAGAAUCCAGUAUUGACCUUCGAAACGAUUAAAGGGAAAAGAAUAAGAUUCAAAUAUCGAUAGAAAAGGAAUAGGGUCAUGGGUGUGGAAUGCAGGACGUCAACAAAAUGAGGAUAAAAUGUUUGUUUCUUAUAUUAGGUGUACUGAACAUUAAAAGCUAAAAAAUGAAUAAUUUUAGAUUGUAACUAUUCUGUUUGAUUUUAUCUGUUAUGUUUGGUAUAACUAUUAAAGAAUGUAAUACUAAAACUGUUGUUCAAAAUAUUUAACUUCUACGUAACUAUUAGAAUAAUGAGACUUCUAUGUAAAUGCUACAAGUACAAAUUAUUAUUCAAUAAAACAUUUUUUUUAAAACAAA